UACGAAGGGGGCUAGCGUUGCUCGGAAUUACUGGGCGUAAAGCGCACGUAGGCGGCUUCUUAAGUCGGUGGUGAAAUCCUGGAGCUCAACUCCAGAACUGCCUUCGAUACUGGGAAGCUCGAGUCCGGGAGAGGUGAGUGGAACUGCGAGUGUAGAGGUGAAAUUCGUAGAUAUUCGCAAGAACACCGGUGGCGAAGGCGGCUCUCUGGACCGAGACUGACGCUGAGGCGCGAAAGCGUGGGGAGCAAACAGG
rnacentral:rRNA from 1 species